rnacentral:rRNA from 1 species
UUUAUCGGAGAGUUUGAUCCUGGCUCAGGACGAACGCUGGCGGCGUGCCUAAUACAUGCAAGUCGAGCGGACAGAUGGGAGCUUGCUCCCUGAUGUUAGCGGCGGACGGGUGAGUAACACGUGGGUAACCUGCCUGUAAGACUGGGAUAACUCCGGGAAACCGGGGCUAAUACCAGAUGGUUGUUUGAACCGCAUGGUUCAGACAUAAAAGGUGGCUUCGGCUACCACUUACAGAUGGACCCGCGGCGCAUUAGCUAGUUGGUGAGGUAACGGCUCACCAAGGCGACGAUGCGUAGCCGACCUGAGAGGGUGAUCGGCCACACUGGGACUGAGACACGGCCCAGACUCCUACGGGAGGCAGCAGUAGGGAAUCUUCCGCAAUGGACGAAAGUCUGACGGAGCAACGCCGCGU